rnacentral:piRNA from 1 species
UUCACACUGCAUCUUCUCCUACCACAGGUGU